AUGGAAGAAUUAACUGAUGAUGACAAGGUGGAAGAAAUGUUGGAUGACAUAGCUAGGAAAGGAAAGAAUGUUGUUAACAUUACAGUUAUGAGAAGUGAUGCACCUAGACCAGUUGAUUUGAACAUUGGUCAUGCUUAUGAAGAGCAGGUUCCUUUGUCAGAAAUAGGUGUACCAGUUGUCUAUGAGGUAGACAAUUCAGGAGUUCUUUUCCCCAGUCCAGUGAAACCCCAACCACUGCCAGUCCAAGUAGUGAACACACAGGAGAGCUCUUGUUUGUUGAAGCAAAAGGGCCGAAGUGAACCUGAGUUUGCUUUAGACAAUGGUAAUGAGAGGCAUGAGUAUUUCAUGGAGACAGACCAAGAGCAAGAGCACAUUGAGCAGAUGAUGGAGCAGAAAAGAAAUGAAGAAAUUCAGAGGUACAGGAACAUGAUAUAA
rnacentral:rRNA from 1 species